AUUGAACGCUGGCGGCAUGCCUUACACAUGCAAGUCGAACGGUAACAGGUCUUCGGAUGCUGACGAGUGGCGAACGGGUGAGUAAUACAUCGGAACGUGCCUAGUAGUGGGGGAUAACUACUCGAAAGAGUGGCUAAUACCGCAUGAGAUCUACGGAUGAAAGCAGGGGAUCGCAAGACCUUGUGCUACUAGAGCGGCCGAUGGCAGAUUGGGUAGUUGGUGGGAUAAAAGCUUACCAAGCCGACGAUCUGUAGCUGGUUUGGGAGGACGAUCAGCCACACUGGGACGGAGACACGGCCCAGACUCCUACGGGAGGCAGCAGUGGGGAAUUUUGGAUAAUGGGCGCAAGCCUGAUCCAGCAAUGCCGCGUGCAGGAUGAAGGCCUUCGGGUUGUAAACUGCUUUUGUACGGAACGAAAAGCCCCGGGUUAAUACCCUGGGGUCAUGACGGUACCGUAAGAAUAAGCACCGGCUAACUACGUGCCAGCCGCCGCCGUAA
rnacentral:rRNA from 1 species